rnacentral:rRNA from 1 species
UAGAGUUUGAUCCUGGCUCAGAUUGAACGCUGGCGGCAUGCCUUACACAUGCAAGUCGAACGGCAGCAUGAUCUAGCUUGCUAGAUUGAUGGCGAGUGGCGAACGGGUGAGUAAUACAUCGGAACGUGCCCUGUAGUGGGGGAUAACUAGUCGAAAGAUUAGCUAAUACCGCAUACGACCUGAGGGUGAAAGUGGGGGACCGCAAGGCCUCAUGCUAUAGGAGCGGCCGAUGUCUGAUUAGCUAGUUGGUGGGGUAAAGGCCCACCAAGGCGACGAUCAGUAGCUGGUCUGAGAGGACGAUCAGCCACACUGGGACUGAGACACGGCCCAGACUCCUACGGGAGGCAGCAGUGGGGAAUUUUGGACAAUGGGCGAAAGCCUGAUCCAGCAAUGCCGCGUGUGUGAAGAAGGCCUUCGGGUUGUAAAGCACUUUUGUCCGGAAAGAAAUGGCUCUGGUUAAUACCUGGGGUCGAUGACGGUACCGGAAGAAUAAGGACCGGCUAACUACGUGCCAGCAGCCGCGGUAAUACGUAGGGUCCAAGCGUUAAUCGGAAUUACUGGGCGUAAGCGUGCGCAGGCGGUUGUGCAAGACCGAUGUGAAAUCCCCGAGCUUAACUUGGGAAUUGCAUUGGUGACUGCACGGCUAGAGUGUGUCAGAGGGGGGUAGAAUUCCACGUGUAGCAGUGAAAUGCGUAGAGAUGUGGAGGAAUACCGAUGGCGAAGGCAGCCCCCUGGGAUAACACUGACACUCAUGCACGAAAGCGUGGGGAGCAAACGGGAUUAGAUACCCUGGUAGUCCGCGCCCUAAACGAUGUCAACUAGUUGUUGGGGAUUCAUUUCCUUAGUAACGUAGCUAACGCGUGAAGUUGACCGCCUGGGGAGUACGGUCGCAAGAUUAAAACUCAAAGGAAUUGACGGGGACCCGCACAAGCGGUGGAUGAUGUGGAUUAAUUCGAUGCAACGCGAAAAACCUUACCUACCCUUGACAUGCCACUAACGAAGCAGAGAUGCAUUAGGUGCUCGAAAGAGAAAGUGGACACAGGUGCUGCAUGGCUGUCGUCAGCUCGUGUCGUGAGAUGUUGGGUUAAGUCCCGCAACGAGCGCAACCCUUGUCUCUAGUUGCUACGAAAGGGCACUCUAGAGAGACUGCCGGUGACAAACCGGAGGAAGGUGGGGAUGACGUCAAGUCCUCAUGGCCCUUAUGGGUAGGGCUUCACACGUCAUACAAUGGUGCAUACAGAGGGUUGCCAAGCCGCGAGGUGGAGCUAAUCCCAGAAAAUGCAUCGUAGUCCGGAUCGUAGUCUGCAACUCGACUACGUGAAGCUGGAAUCGCUAGUAAUCGCGGAUCAGCAUGCCGCGGUGAAUACGUUCCCGGGUCUUGUACACACCGCCCGUCACACCAUGGGAGUGGCUUACCAGAAGUAGUU